GUCCUCCUGUUGCUUCCACAGGCUAUGUUCUUACACUGACUAUAUAAAGAGGAGGCAGACUAAACCCACUCCAUAUAUACCUCAGCCCAAGCUGUGCCUGGUCUGUAUUGUGAAUGGGGAGAUGAAU
ensembl:snoRNA